UAUGACGGGCGGUGUGUGCACCGGAUCACCGGUAAUCAUUCACGGAGAGUUUGAUCCUGGCUCAGGACGAACGCUGGCGGCGUGCUUAACACAUGCAAGUCGAACGAUGAACCACUUCGGUGGGGAUUAGUGGCGAACGGGUGAGUAACACGUGGGCAAUCUGCCCUGCACUCUGGGACAAGCCCUGGAAACGGGGUCUAAUACCGGAUACUGACCCGCCUGGGCAUCCAGGCGGUUCGAAAGCUCCGGCGGUGCAGGAUGAGCCCGCGGCCUAUCAGCUUGUUGGUGAGGUAACGGCUCACCAAGGCGACGACGGGUAGCCGGCCUGAGAGGGCGACCGGCCACACUGGGACUGAGACACGGCCCAGACUCCUACGGGAGGCAGCAGUGGGGAAUAUUGCACAAUGGGCGCAAGCCUGAUGCAGCGACGCCGCGUGAGGGAUGACGGCCUUCGGGUUGUAAACCUCUUUCAGCAGGGAAGAAGCGCAAGUGACGGUACCUGCAGAAGAAGCGCCGGCUAACUACGUGCCAGCAGCCGCGGUAAUACGUAGGGCGCGAGCGUUGUCCGGAAUUAUUGGGCGUAAAGAGCUCGUAGGCGGCUUGUCGCGUCGGUUGUGAAAGCCCGGGGCUUAACCCCGGGUCUGCAUUCGAUACGGGCAGGCUAGAGUUCGGUAGGGGAGAUCGGAAUUCCUGGUGUAGCGGUGAAAUGCGCAGAUAUCAGGAGGAACACCGGUGGCGAAAGGCGGAUCUCUGUGGCCGAUACUGACGCUGAUGAGCGAUAAGCGUGGGGAGCGAACAGGAUUAGAUACCCUGGUAGU
rnacentral:rRNA from 1 species